rnacentral:rRNA from 1 species
UACGAAGGGGGCUAGCGUUGCUCGGAUUGACUGGGCGUAAAGGGCGCGUAGGCGGUUCGUACAGUCAGACGUGAAAUUCCUGGGCUCAACCUGGGGGCUGCGUUUGAUACGUGCGGGCUUGAGUGCGGAAGAGGGUCGUGGAAUUCCCAGUGUAGAGGUGAAAUUCGUAGAUAUUGGGAAGAACACCGGUGGCGAAGGCGGCGACCUGGUCCGAUACUGACGCUGAGGCGCGCAAGCGUGGGGAGCAAACAGG